rnacentral:rRNA from 1 species
UACGAAGGGAGCUAGCGUUGUUCGGAAUUACUGGGCGUAAAGGGCGCGUAGGCGGUACUAUAAGUCAGAUGUGAAAGCCCCGGGCUUAACCUGGGAGGUGCAUUUGAAACUGUGGAACUAGAGAUCGAGAGAGGAAAGUGGAAUUACGAGUGUAGAGGUGAAAUUCGUAGAUAUUCGUAAGAACACCAGUGGCGAAGGCGGCUUUCUGGCUCGAUACUGACGCUAAGGCGCGAAAGCGUGGGGAGCAAACAGG